UUGCCCAGCACAUGGCAAGUAUUCAGUAAAUGUCAGCUGUUGUGUUUCAACCCCAUUGCCUCACAAUGGUGCAGAGAGAUGGGCGCCACUGUUGCCUAUUCACAGAUGGGAAAGCCAAAGCUUAGAGAGCCUCCGGGAGUUGCCAGGAGUUACAUUACUAGGAUUGGAAACCUAGAUAGUUGUGGCAUGAGCAUUCUUUUCUAUAUUCCCAUGGCACAGAGGGAAUACUAGAAGCAAAGCAUCCGUGGUCUCUAAAUCAUACAUAAACUCCAGGCCGGCUUGACUAGUGGCUUCCGUCAGAGGCCAAAGAACCAUGUCUUGUUUCGAACGGGGGAACCAUGGGGAGUGUGGGGCCUGUGAACGGGACAGCACUUUCCCAGUCACUCUCUAACACACAUGUGCGCUGGCACUCAGCACCAGUCAAGUGAGGGUGGAGAAAGACCGUGAAACUUCGGAGUCCCUCGACCAGCUGGGCUUGACAAACGGAUUUGAUGGCUGAGCUGCAGUGGCCAUACUGGACCGUGAGACAACUUUGAGGACAGAAGCCAGAAGUAAGGAUGGUGGGGCAGAGAAAUACAAGAAGCCUGGGUUCUGAUGAAAUCAUGGGACUUCCAAAGGAUUUCUCUAGUCUUACUUUUGAGCUUCUUAUGUGUGGCCUAUUUCUACGACCUCUGAAACCUUAACCAAACUUUACUAAAGUAAGGAAAGCCUU